rnacentral:tRNA from 1 species
UCCCUGCUGGUCCAGUGGCUAAGACUUUGAGUUCUGAAUACAGCGGGCCGAGGUUCAAUUCCUGGUCAGGGAA